AUGCGAUAAGUAAUGUGAAUUGCAGAAUUCAGUGAAUCAUCGAAUCUUUGAACGCACCUUGCGCCCUUUGGCUAUUCCGAAGGGCAUGCCUGUUUGAGUAUCAUGAACACCUCAACUCUCGUGGUUUGCUACGAUGAGCUUGGACUUUGGGGGUUUUGCUGGCCUGUGGGUCGGCUCCUCUCAAAUGAAUCAGCUUCCCAGCGUUUGGUGGAGUCGCAGGUGUGAUAACUAUCUACGCUUGUCGUUUUUCACCAGAUAACCUUCGGUGGUGGAGGUUCGUUGGGGCUCAUAAACGUCUCCCCUCAGUGAAGACAGCUUUUGAACGUUUGAUCUCAAAUCAGGUAGGACUACCCGCUGAACUUAA
rnacentral:rRNA from 1 species